UGGAAAUAAGAUUCAACACUAUAAAUUAGUAAUAAGAAUAUAAAUAAUAUAAAAGCAUGCAUGAUUAAUACUACAAGACUAGCCUCCAUAAUCCAAUAAAUAUGAAAAAGUAAAUAACCCAAAAUAGGCCUUCUUAAGCUCGACGGGUGUAAUCAAAGGUAAGUAAAUAGCCAAAGAUCCAAAAAUGUACUGAAUAUAAAGCUAUAAACAUGACUCC
rnacentral:lncRNA from 1 species